GAUGAACGCUAGCGGCAGGCUUAACACAUGCAAGUCGAGGGGUAGAAGCAGCUUGCUGCUUUGAGACCGGCGCACGGGUGCGUAACGCGUAUACAAUCUACCUUUUGCAGAGGGAUAGCCCAGAGAAAUUUGGAUUAAUACCUCAUAGUAUUUUCGAAUCGCAUGAUUUGAUUAUUAAAGUUCCAACGGUAAAGAUGAGUAUGCGUCCCAUUAGCUAGAUGGUAAGGUAACGGCUUACCAUGGCUACGAUGGGUAGGGGUCCUGAGAGGGAGAUCCCCCACACUGGUACUGAGACACGGACCAGACUCCUACGGGAGGCAGCAGUGAGGAAUAUUGGACAAUGGGCGCAAGCCUGAUCCAGCCAUGCCGCGUGCAGGAAGACGGUCCUAUGGAUUGUAAACUGCUUUUGUACGAGAAGAAACACUCCUUCGUGAAGGAGCUUGACGGUAUCGUAAGAAUAAGGAUCGGCUAACUCCGUGCCAG
rnacentral:rRNA from 1 species